rnacentral:rRNA from 1 species
GACGAACGCUGGCGGCGUGCUUAACACAUGCAAGUCGAACGGUGAAGGGAUUGGCUUUUGUUGGUCCUGGAUGAGUGGCGAACGGGUGAGUAACACGUGAGUAACCUGCCCCCUUCUUCUGGAUAACCGCAUGAAAGUGUGGCUAAUACGGGAUAUUCUGGGUCUGUCGCAUGACGGGCCCGGGAAAGAUAUUGCUUCGGUGGGGGAUGGGCUCGCGGCCUAUCAGCUUGUUGGUGGGGUGAUGGCCUACCAAGGCGGUGACGGGUAGCCGGCCUGAGAGGGUGGACGGUCACACUGGGACUGAGACACGGCCCAGACUCCUACGGGAGGCAGCAGUGGGGAAUAUUGCACAAUGGGCGCAAGCCUGAUGCAGCGACGCCGCGUGAGGGAUGGAGGCCUUCGGGUUGUAAACCUCUUUCGCCAGUGAAGCAGGCCUGCUCCUUGUGGGUGGGUUGACGGUAGCUGGAUAAGAAGCGCCGGCUAACUACGUGCCAGCAGCCGCGGUAAUACGUAGGGCGCGAGCGUUGUCCGGAAUUAUUGGGCGUAAAGAGCUCGUAGGCGGCUGGUCGCGUCUGUCGUGAAAUCCUCUGGCUUAACUGGGGGCUUGCGGUGGGUACGGGCCGGCUUGAGUGCGGUAGGGGAGACUGGAACUCCUGGUGUAGCGGUGGAAUGCGCAGAUAUCAGGAAGAACACCGGUGGCGAAGGCGGGUCUCUGGGCCGUUACUGACGCUGAGGAGCGAAAGCGUGGGGAGCGAACAGGAUUAGAUACCCUGGUAGUCCACGCCGUAAACGUUGGGCACUAGGUGUGGGGGGCCUUUUCCGGGUCUUCCGCGCCGUAGCUAACGCAUUAAGUGCCCCGCCUGGGGAGUACGGCCGCAAGGCUAAAACUCAAAGGAAUUGACGGGGGCCCGCACAAGCGGCGGAGCAUGCGGAUUAAUUCGAUGCAACGCGAAGAACCUUACCAAGGCUUGACAUGUGCCGGUCGGCUCCGGAGACGGGGCUUCCUCCUUGUGGGGCCGGUUCACAGGUGGUGCAUGGUUGUCGUCAGCUCGUGUCGUGAGAUGUUGGGUUAAGUCCCGCAACGAGCGCAACCCUUGUCCCGUGUUGCCAGCACGUUGUGGUGGGGACUCGCGGGAGACUGCCGGGGUCAACUCGGAGGAAGGUGGGGAUGACGUCAAAUCAUCAUGCCCCUUAUGUCUUGGGCUUCACGCAUGCUACAAUGGCCGGUACAGAGGGCUGCGAUACCGUGAGGUGGAGCGAAUCCCUUAAAGCCGGUCUCAGUUCGGAUCGGUGUCUGCAACUCGACACCGUGAAGUUGGAGUCGCUAGUAAUCGCAGAUCAGCAACGCUGCGGUGAAUACGUUCUCGGGCCUUGUACACACCGCCCGUCACGUCAUGAAAGUCGGCAACACCCGAAGCCCGUGGCCCUAAGGGGAGCGGUCGAAGGUGGGGCUGGUGAUUGGGACG